UACGCAGGUGGCAAGCGCUGCCCGGAUUUACUGAUCUUAAAGGAAGCGUAAGUGGAUAUUUAAGGGGGAUGUGAAAUACUCGCGAUCAACCUGGGGGCUGCAUUCCUAACUGGAUAUCUACAGUGCAGGAGAGGAAAGUAGAAUUCCUAGUGUAGCGGUGAAAUGCGUAGAGAUUAGGAAGAAUACCAGAGGCGAAGGCGACUUUCUGGACUGUAACUGACACUGAGGCUCGAAAGCGUGGGGAGCAAACAGGAUUAGAUACCCUGGUAGUUCACGCCGUAAACGAUGAAUACUAGGUGUAGGGGUUGUCAUGACCUCUGAGCCGCCGCUAACGCAUUAAGUAUUCCGCCUGGGGAGUACGGUCGCAAGAUUAUAUCUCAAAGGAAUUGACGGGGGCCCACACAAGCAGCGGAGCAUGUGGUUUAAUUUGAAUCAACGCGAAGAUCCUUACCUAGACUUGACAUCUCCUGAAUUACUCUAUAAUGGAGGAAGCCCUUCGGGGCAGGAAGACAGGUGGUGCAUGGUUGUCGUCAGCUCGUGUCGUGAGAUGUUGGGUUAAGUGCCGCAACGAGCGCAACCGUUAUUGUUAGUUGUUUCCAUUAAGUUGAGCUCUCUAGCGAGUCUUCCCGGGUUAUCCGGGAGGAAGGUGGGGAUGACGUCAACUCAUCAUGUUCUUUAUGUUUAGGGCUCCACACGUGCUUCAAUGGCUGGUUCAGAGAGAUUCUAAACCGCGAGGUGGAACCAAUCUUUAAAACCAGUCUCAGUUUGGAUUGUAGGCUGAAACUUGCGUACAUGAAGCUGGAGUUGGUAGUAAUCGAGAAUCAGAAUGUCGCGGUGAAUUCGUUCCCGGGCCU
rnacentral:rRNA from 1 species